UCUUGCGCAAUGGGAGCAAUCCUGACGCAGCGACGCCGCGUGGGGGAGGAAGGGCUUCGGCUCGUAAACCCCUGUUGCCCGGGGCGAACAUCCCGUUUCGACGGGACUGACGGUACCGGGUGAGGAAGCACCGGCUAACUCCGUGCCAGCAGCCGCGGGAAUACGGAGGGUGCGAGCGUUGUCCGGAAUCACUGGGCGUAAAGGGCGCGUAGGUGGCUUCUCAAGAGCGCGGGGAAAGCCCGGGGCUCAACCCCGGGUCGGCCGUGCGGACCGGGAGGCUCGAGCACUGUAGGGGCGGGUGGAAUUCCGGGUGUAGCGGUGGAAUGCGUAGAGAUCCGGAAGAACACCGGUGGCGAAGGCGGCCCGCUGGGCAGGAAGGCUCGCAAGAGCCGGCUGACACUGAGGCGCGACAGCGUGGGGAGCAAAC
rnacentral:rRNA from 1 species